UACAGAUGUAGCAUUAGUCAAGGUGAAGAUUGACCAGACAUUGUCAGACCUACAGCAGUUGAUAAGCACUCCAGGAUGCCAUGAGCAGAAGUUAGCUGAGGUCAUUACAGACACUUGCUUCAAGGAGCACACUAUCUCCCAGUGUCCAAAAAGUGACAUAGCUAGUGCCAAGGAGAAAUUUAUCACUGCACUUGUUAAUAAUAUUGAGAAAAGGUUUCCAGAUACUGAUCUUCUAUCCUCAUUUGGGGUACUCUCAAUGAGGCCCCAUCACACUGCUGUCAGAUGUUGAACUGAAAACCUGGGGUGAUGAAAAAAAUAGACAUUCUGGUCAAUCAUUUUGGAGAGGAGAAAAGUCACAAAUGGAAGGUUGAUGGGGUUCAGCACACUAAGACCAGCUCUCCAAUCAUAGAUCCAGAUGCAACAAAAAAUGAAUGGAAACAGAUUAAGAUACUUGUUAAAGCAGAAAUGUAUCCCCGUGAUGAUCUCUUUAAACUGUGGCAUCUUAUAAAUAAGUUUCAUGGUGAACAGUUCCCUAACCUUUUGAUAUUGGCCAGUCUUGCCAUCAUAUGUCCUGUAAACACUGCAGGCUGUGAGAGGGGGUUUUCUGUUCAAAAUCAAACUCUUACAGCUUUGAGAAACAGGCUCAAUCCUGACACUCAGGACCAAAUCAUGAGGAUAAGGAUAAAUGGCAAGCCUAGGGAAGAUUUCCCAUUUGAAGAUGCUUUAAAGGCAUGGAAAGCAGCUGUACCUAGAAAAUUGUUUAACUGACUGAAAUAGAAAUGAAUGAAAUAUUUUCCAAACAAAAGGGAUAUUAAUAAAGUAAACUUGAAAGUGUCAAUAAUGUUUUAUUAUUCAUUUGA